rnacentral:rRNA from 1 species
UACGGAGGGGGCAAGCGUUGUUCGGAAUUACUGGGCGUAAAGGGCGCGCAGGCGGCUGCUCAAGUCAGGCGUGAAAGGCCUGGGCUCAACCCGGGAAUUGCGCUUGAGACUGGGCUGGCUUGAGUGCGGGGAGGAGGAUGGUCGGAAUUCCCAGUGUAGAGGUAGAAAUUCGUAGAUUAGUUAGGGGAAAGAACCGACCGGGUGGCGAAGGCGGGGACUCUGGGCCGAUACUGACGCUGAGGAGCGAAAGCGUGGGGAGCAAACAGG